rnacentral:rRNA from 1 species
AUGCCUGGCUUGUGCUUGGUGUUGUUCAUGGUGGCCCUGUUGCUUCCUGGAUCUGAAGGCAAAAUUUGCAAGGAGUAUAGCAAAACCUACACUGUUUCUGAAUGCACGAGCAAACCAUGCGUCGAGCACUGCUAUGACGAGGGUUUCGCUGAAGGGGAGUGUAAAACAAGUGAGUAUGAACUUGAUGAUUAUCGAUUCUGUCUCUGCAAGAAACAUUGUUAA